CGGGCCCCCGGGGAGGCGGGAGGGCGGCGGCCCGACCCGGUGCCGUUGUCGCUCGUCUGCGCUGGUGUCUCCCUCAGGGAACUGAGGAGACGCGGGUCGGUAAGGUCACCGGUGCGUCGGCCCCGCGGAGACCCCUCGGGCAGGGGCUAACGCUUGGUUGAUUUACUCCUCUUCCAACUUCCUAAAGCGAUUGGUUUUGUUUGUUUCGGUAGCAGCCGAGCGGUGCGGCUUUAGGUCUCUGCAGAGGCAGGGCUCCGUUCUCCGAGAAGCCUCUGGAGUUCUGCGGCACCUGCGAUCCUUCUGGGUUAGAGCCGCGCGCCUCAAAAUAAGUCGGAAGAAAGGUGGAUGGGUCGUUCUUUGGCAAUGUAUCCAACUCGAUGUGAUGCUCUGUAUAGCAUCGUUAUCUAUUCUCUAUGUGCCUUUUAUCUAUAUUGCAUCUGCAACGUCCUGGCAUUCCUUGUGGCCACAGAGCGGGAGGGCACAUCCCCAGGAGGUCAUAGAAGAGGAGAGAGGAUGUCUACAAGUGCGCCUCGUGCCAUGCCAAGCGGGAACUUGUUGCUCUCGUUUAACUGCCUGACGCAAGGAGCUCUUUCCCCAGAUGAUGCAAGGACCCAUCCCAAACAUCCUCUGGUUUUCAGAUCGUGCCUGCGAACUUGGUGGGAUUCUAGCAGGAUAAUGCAAACCUGGCACAAGGUACAGUGUGG